UUGACUUGGGACUUCCCAGUUUCCAAAACUGUGAGAAAUAAAUUUUUUAUGAUUUACCCAGUCUAAGAUAUUUUGUGACAGCAGCAGGAAUGGACUAACAUACUGGGUCUAGCAAAGAGUUCUCAAGUGCACUGUUUCUCUCCCACCACUGCCUGUUCUCACUUUCUUUCGAAGAUGUGAUUAACAGUUUCCACAUCUGUUUGGUCCCUCAAAAGGCAAAGGUGAAGUGUACCGGAGAAAUAUAUGGAUCACAGGCAAGAUCCAAAGCUGGCUGCAGUCUCUGAGGCCUGAGCCCUUCCAUGAAGGCUCUUGCCCCUCCUUGUUCCAUACAUCUUUCUUCUUCAUAGCAAGACAUUUCCAUUAAGCCCAAAAGCCCAGAAUGCAACUCAGAUAUACAAUAUAUUACCUGUUGCAUCACUUUCUUUGAUAUGGUUUGACUCUGUGUCCC
rnacentral:lncRNA from 1 species